rnacentral:rRNA from 1 species
UGGGGAAUUUUGGACAAUGGGCGCAAGCCUGAUCCAGCCAUUCCGCGUGCAGGAUGAAGGCCCUCGGGUUGUAAACUGCUUUUGUACGGAACGAAAAGGCUCUGGUUAAUACCUGGGGCUCAUGACGGUACCGUAAGAAUAAGCACCGGCUAACUACGUGCCAGCAGCCGCGGUAAUACGUAGGGUGCAAGCGUUAAUCGGAAUUACUGGGCGUAAAGCGUGCGCAGGCGGUGAUGUAAGACAGGUGUGAAAUCCCCGGGCUUAACCUGGGAACUGCAUUUGUGACUGCAUCGCUGGAGUGCGGCAGAGGGGGAUGGAAUUCCGCGUGUAGCAGUGAAAUGCGUAGAUAUGCGGAGGAACACCGAUGGCGAAGGCAAUCCCCUGGGCCUGCACUGACGCUCAUGCACGAAAGCGUGGGGAGCAAACA